rnacentral:rRNA from 1 species
UACGUAGGGUGCAAGCGUUGUCCGGAAUUAUUGGGCGUAAAGAGCUUGUAGGCGGUUUGUCGCGUCUGCUGUGAAAUUUCGGGGCUCAACCCCGAACUUGCAGUGGGUACGGGCAGACUAGAGUGUGGUAGGGGAGACUGGAAUUCCUGGUGUAGCGGUGAAAUGCGAAGAUAUCAGGAGGAACACCGAUGGCGAAGGCAGGUCUCUGGGCCAUAACUGACGCUGAGAAGCGAAAGCAUGGGGAGCGAACAGG